CGCAAUGGGCGAAAGCCUGACGGAGCGACGCCGCGUGGUUGAUGAAGUCCCUAGGGACGUAAAAACCUUUUAUGUGGGAGAAAGUCAUUGAUAGUACCACAUGAAUAAGGGGUUGCUAAACUCGUGCCAGCAGCAGCGGUAAUACGAGUGCCCCGAGCGUUAUCCGGAAUUAUUGGGCGUAAAGGGUGUGUAGGUGGUUGUGUUAGUCUUCUGUUAAAGCUCCCGGCUUAACCGGGAACAUGCAGAGGAAACGGCGCGACUAGAGGAUGUGAGAGGUAAGCGGAACUCAUGGUGUAGGGGUGAAAUCCGUUGAUAUCAUGGGGAACACCAAAAGCGAAGGCAGCUUACUGGCGCAUUCCUGACACUGGGACACGAAAGCGU
rnacentral:rRNA from 1 species